rnacentral:rRNA from 1 species
AUUGAACGCUGGCGGCAGGCUUAACACAUGCAAGUCGAACGGUAGCAGGAGAAAGCUUGCUUUCUUGCUGACGAGUGGCGGACGGGUGAGUAAUGCUUGGGAAUCUGGCUUAUGGAGGGGGAUAACGACGGGAAACUGUCGCUAAUACCGCGUAGUGUCGAGAGAUGAAAGGGUGGGACUUUUAGCCACCUGCCAUGAGAUGAGCCUAAGUGGGAUUAGGUAGUUGGUGGGGUAAAGGCCUACCAAGCCUGCGAUCUCUAGCUGGUCUGAGAGGAUGACCAGCCACACUGGAACUGAGACACGGUCCAGACUCCUACGGGAGGCAGCAGUGGGGAAUAUUGCGCAAUGGGGGCAACCCUGACGCAGCCAUGCCGCGUGAAUGAAGAAGGCCUUCGGGUUGUAAAGUUCUUUCGGUAUUGAGGAAGGUUGAUGUGUUAAUAGUACAUCAAAUUGACGUUAAAUACAGAAGAAGCACCGGCUAACUCCGUGCCAGCAGCCGCGGUAAUACGGAGGGUGCGAGCGUUAAUCGGAAUAACUGGGCGUAAAGGGCACGCAGGCGGUUAUUUAAGUGAGGUGUGAAAGCCCCGGGCUUAACCUGGGAAUUGCAUUUCAGACUGGGUAACUAGAGUACUUUAGGGAGGGGUAGAAUUCCACGUGUAGCGGUGAAAUGCGUAGAGAUGUGGAGGAAUACCGAAGGCGAAGGCAGCCCCUUGGGAAUGUACUGACGCUCAUGUGCGAAAGCGUGGGGAGCAAACAGG